rnacentral:tRNA from 1 species
AGAGAGGUGUCCGAGUGGUUGAAGGAGCACGCCUGGAAAGUGUGUAUACCGAAAGGUAUCGAGGGUUCGAAUCCCUUCCUCUCUGCCA